AACUUUAUCUUCUUCAUCUUUCUCCUUACCUUCUUCUUCCACUUGUAAAGGAGGGUUUUCUAGUGUAAUGUCUUUCAUAUUCUUUUCAAGAAAACCUACAUCAUCAUCCACAUCUAUUGCUCUAGAUUUAAAACUAUUAGUUUUAUUAAAAAUAAUAUAAAUAAAAUUUUACAAUAAAUGUUCUUCUAUUAAAUACUUUAUAUGCUCUAUUGGA
rnacentral:lncRNA from 1 species